GGCAGAAGCCACAUAGAAUCCACAGGCGCUUGAAACUUCCUGGGAAACAGAGAGAAGCAAGAGCCCCUUUAUCAGGAUCAGACAGAGCUCUGUGCUACCCAUUCUCCAUCCCUCCCUUCCCGUGGGAUCUCUGGUAGAAGGUGGGAGGCACCCACUGUGAGGGACUUGAAGGCCUUAGAACUCCUACCUUGGCGCCUCUUCAUUAUUCCCAAAGCCACUUUCCAAAGAGUUCUUCCAGGCCAAGAGCUAUUGCCCUCUCAUUCCAACUUUCAGAGGACUUUUAAUGCUGCCUUUUGUCUCUUGCACAGUUGAUAAACUGGCCCCGCAUCCUCCUCCCUUUAUCUGCAGCUCCAUAGAAGUCUAUUGCACUGCAGAGGCUGAUCUGUUUCACAAGCUCCUUUGUGUCCACCCUCAAAGGAAAGGCUUUGAAAGUUGUGACCAUGAAGCUUUGAGUUUGGCUGUGCUUCUUCCCCAGUUACAUAACCACAUAACCCCAGGAGCCCAAGAAUGGCCAAGGACAGACCUGAUGAGCUCCACGGGCCACACUUGGACAGCAGCCCAUUGUGCCAGGGGAGGGAAGACCCCAGCCAACACCAAGGGCCAUAGCAGCUGGGCUCUUUGUCCUUUGCCAGGCCAUGCCUGCAUGGUGAAUGACAAUGAAUGGGAUUUAGGGGGGCAGGAAGUACUGAGUAGGCUGUCAGAGCAAGCUGAAGCCAUUGAAUGAACAACAUUCCAUCAGGAAUUUUCCUCAGAAAAGCACACAUAAACAGCACUCCAGCUUGAGGAUUUGCCUCUCCUUUCUGUUAGGAAGCUGUGUGGCUGGAAUUGCCAUUGUUUGGUUUGUCAACAAAAGGAUGGACUGAAGGUAAGAGUGUUUCUGGACUUGGAAAGAGGUAGCAAUAGGUUUGCAUGCUGAAAAUGAUUGGCAGAUGUAUUGAAGUGUGUCUGGGAUGCCAUCAGUGAGCCCACCGUGCCUCGCCUGUCCCACUGGUCAGCAGAGUAUCUGCUCCAUGACCUCAGGAUGUUGCUGGACCUGGGAGAGACAUACCAUCACGCAGGAGCCGGCUCCAUUCAAGGAAAGGAAGCAGACAUUCCUUCCAGAAUAUACUGACUGAAAGAUGUGCAGGGUUUCCUCAAACAUUGGGUGGGAAAAUGAGAAGAUGCGUUUAAAUCAAGCAGAAGACAAGAGGAUUGUGUGACUGGACUCAACAGUGUAGCCGGGCUUCAGAUCUCAACGUUUUCCCUCACCUCCCAGGGUUGAUAGUGGUAUCCCACUCUGGGAGCCACAAGUCCUGUGUGGAAGGUGACUGCCACUGUAAUUCCUUCAGCCAGCAGAGGACCUUGAGAACAGACACUGCCUGUCUGUUGCCAUGUAGUGGUCUGUCAGUACUUCUGUCAGGAAGGUCAGGCCCAAUAAAAACCAGACUAUCUAGGGAGGGAGCCCGGGGCUGGGCGCAGUACUUAUCUUAAGGGAAGGAGCCUUCGCAUUUACUAGCUGAGGGCUUUGUUUACCCCAUGAGGAAGGUGGGUCCCACCACAGCCCCUAACUAAUUCAAGCCUUCCUGUUCUAGUUCACCUUAUCUUGAUGAAGAGAGCAAUUUGUUUUACAUCUUUAUGCAGCUGAAGCAGAGGAAGCUAAGCAAGUAGAACUGGGGGGGGGGGUGUUUUUGAUUACAAGUACAUUAAGGCUAAGCUGUGAUUUCUAAAGCUCUUUCAUUUGUGACAGGAGCCAAUUUCCUCUCUCCCAGACAGCAGCCUGUUACUCUUCUGAAAAUGAGCCCCCCCCCCCCGCCUCCCCUGCAAGUUAUAGUCUAAGAAGUGGCAGAGUCACAAGUGUGCAUUGAGCAGCACAAGAUCCUCUACUUGACACCCAAAGGAGAAUGCUUGAUCAAGAGAGAAAAUUCCACUUGGAGCCUGAUGUUUGAGCCAUUUCCAAUUUGGUUUUCCUGCAGUGUCCUCUCUCAGCCCUCUCUGGAGCAAAAUUCACCUGGAGCUCCCACCUUCCACUCUACUACACACAACUUGUUUUCUGGUGGUUAAUUGGAAAUUAGAGUGUCAAGGACUUUCCUGCUGUGGACUGGCUUUGAACCACAAUCCUCAGAUCUCAGCUUCCUGCGUAGUAGCUAGGACUAUAGGCAUGAGUCACCAGUGCCCGGCUGCUGUUGUUCCUCUUGACAAGAUACUUCUUGUUCUUGUCAGCCCCUCAGUUUGUGACUGUUGGCAGUGCAUACCAUCCUGGGCUGUGAGCUCUGGGUAGCUUCUCUGUGGUGCUUGAGAGCUUCAGGGCCCCCCUAUGCCCUGAGAAUCUGGCAGCACCCUUCUUCCUUUGCCACCUUAAGAAGUU